rnacentral:rRNA from 1 species
GAUGAACGCUAGCGACAGGCUUAACACAUGCAAGUCGAGGGGCAGCAUAGAAGUAGCAAUACUUUGGUGGCGACCGGCGCACGGGUGAGUAACGCGUAUGCAACCUACCUAUCAGAGGGGAAUAACCCGGCGAAAGUCGGACUAAUACCGCAUAAAAACAAGGGGCGACCGCAUGGUGAUAUUUGUUAAAGAAAAUUACGCUGAUAGAUGGGCGAUGCGUUCCAUUAGGUAGUUGGUGAGGUAACGGCUCACCAAGCCGACGAUGGAUAGGGGAACGUGAGAGGUUGGUCCCCCACCACUGGUACUGAGACACGGACCAGACUCCUACGGGAGGC